GGCACCGAGGCCGGAGCCCUGAGGCUACGGAGGGCCGCGACCGUCACCCCGGGAACCACUCCUCCGGGCAGGCAUGGCACUGACCACUCCCUUCCUGUCCAGAGCUGCUCCUGGACGACAGCUGUGCGGAGGACCAGGACGGGGAGCUGGAUGGGCUGUGGACCACCAUCUCCAUCUUCAUCACGCUCUUCCUGCUCAGCGUGUGCUACAGCGCCACUGUCACCCUCUUCAAGGUGAAGUGGAUCUUCUCCUCGGUGGUGGAGCUGAAGCGCACGAUCGCGCCCGACUACAGGAACAUGAUCAGGCAGGGGGCCUAGGGCCAGCCGUCCUGGGAGGGUGUCAGCGCUGCCCCAACCCUGCACGGGAUCCCGGUGCAACAGCCUGCUGCCAGGCCUGCUCUCCCGCCCUCUGACCUCGCCACCCUCUGACCUCACAGCCACCCUGGGCCUGCGCCCUCGCCCUCUGGCCUCGCAGCCCCUGUGAGCUGCAGCCUGCGCCCUGACCCCCCCGUUUGGAGAAUCGCGUGGACGGCAGGUCGUGCCCCAACCUGAGCUGGUGGACGCCCGCUGGCCCCUCCACGGCGGCCGCCAGGCUACCGCUGUGGCCGCGCACGGUCAGCGGGCACGCUCAUCCUGGAGGAGGCGGGCGGCUGGCGAUCCCAGUGUCUGUCUGGCAGGGACCGGCCUCUGUGCGAACCCCGUCCAGGCCAGGCUCCAGGACGCAGGGUUUCCCCAGAGCAGCCACGUGGGCCCAGAUCCUGAGGAAGCUUCCGACGUGUCACUAACGGUCAGUCAGAUCUUCUGCGCCGGAGGAGACCGCGCAGACAAGGGCCUGGGCCUGUGGCUGCUGCAGGAGCCCCGUGGAUGCCGGGGACAGAGUGACAUCCAGCCAGACAGGCCUCCUGCAGAGGGGUCUGGUGACCUGGUCCCCGGGCCAGUGGGACACAGCCUCGGUGGACACAGGUGGAAGGUGCCAGGAGGCCAGGGCGGCAGGCCCAGCCCGCACCCCCCCUGUGGCCGGGGCCUGAGUCCCACCAGGCUCGCGCGGGGGUGGGAGGGAGUGACAAGCCCAUGGCCGGGUGGACCCCCAGGACUGGCUCUCCGCCCUGGCUUUGGGUGGGUGCCAAGUCGGGGCCCCCACAUGGGAAGAGAUGGCCAUGCAGGGGAGGAGAAGCAGAGCCCCCAGCCCCAGGGACAGACGCCCGGGGCUCCCACACAUGGGAAAGCCACUGCUGAAGCUUGGCUAGCUUGUUUUAUUCUUUUUAAAUGUCUGGAGCUCCUUGAUUUCCAUUUGCAUUUCUUUCUUUCUUUUAUUUUCUUAUUUUUUUUUUUUUUCUUUUUUA